rnacentral:tRNA from 1 species
GCGGGGGUUGCCCGCCCAGUUCAAAGGCGAUAGUUUGAGGAAAUAUUUUCGUAGGAAUCCGUGGGUCCGAAUCCCAUCCCCUGCACCA